AAUUAUAUAGUUUAAGUAAAAACAUUUUAUUUUCAUUAAAGAGAUAUUGAAAAUUAUACAACCAAUUAUAAUUA
rnacentral:tRNA from 1 species